UACGUAGGGGGCAAGCGUUGUCCGGAAUCAUUGGGCGUAAAGAGCGUGUAGGCGGUUCGGUAAGUCGGCUGUGAAAGUCCAGGGCUCAACCCUGGGAUGCCGGUCGAUACUGCCGGACUAGAGUUCGGAAGAGGCGAGUGGAAUUCCCCGGUGUAGCGGUGAAAUGCGCAGAUAUCGGGAGGAACACCUAUGGCGAAGGCAGCUCGCUGGGACGUUACUGACGCUGAGACGCGAAAGCGUGGGGGAGCAAACAGG
rnacentral:rRNA from 1 species